rnacentral:rRNA from 1 species
AUUGAACGCUGGCGGCAUGCUUUACACAUGCCAGUCGAACGGCAGCGCGGGCUUCGGCCUGGCGGCGAGUGGCGAACGGGUGAGUAAUGCAUCGGAACGUGCCCAGUAGUGGGGGAUAGCCCGGCGAAAGCCGGAUUAAUACCGCAUACGACCUGAGGGUGAAAGCGGGGGACCGAAAGGCCUCGCGCUAUUGGAGCGGCCGAUGUCGGAUUAGCUAGUUGGUGGGGUAAAGGCUUACCAAGGCGACGAUCCGUAGCUGGUCUGAGAGGACGACCAGCCAAACUGGGACUGAGACACGGCCCAGACUCCUACGGGAGGCAGCAGUGGGGAAUGUUGGACAAUGGGGGCAAACCUGAUCCAGCCAUGCCGCGUGCGGGAAGAAGGCCUUCGGGUUGUAAACCGCUUUUGUUCGGGAAGAAAUCCUCUGGGCUAAUACCCCGGGGGGAUGACGGUACCGGAAGAAUAAGCACCGGCUAACUACGUG